UUUCUCCUAUAAAACUGUCUGUGGUAAUCUUAUUAUACUCAGGUUUAUUAAUGAUAAUACUGGUUGAAAAAAAUAUUUAACAUUUUGAAAUUAUUCCCUAAUAAUGUUAAGUUUUGCAAUGGUAGAGAUUUAUUUUAGGUUUAAGUUAAGCUUUUCUUAAUCAGAUAUAGUAUAUUAUUUUAGUUUUCUAAUUGAUAUAGGAUUACUCAGAAUACCCUUUGAAGAUGAAUUCAGCAUUUAUCAAUGAACUUUCUUACCUUAAUUAUGUUGAAUGUAUAGUACUAUAUUCAGGGAAUGUGAAUCUUAAGGUUUCUUUUUUUUUUUUUUUCUUAAAGAUUUUAUUUAUUUAUUUGACAGACAGAGAUCACAAGUAGGUAGAGAGACAGGUGUGGGGGAGGGGUAAGCAGGCUCCCUGCUGAGCAGAGAGCCAGAUGUGGGGCUCUAUCCCAGGACUCUGGGAUCAUGACCUGAGCUGAAGGCAGAGGCUUUAACCCACUGAGCCACCCAGGCGCCCCAACUUACUUACUUACUUACUUUCUUUCUUUCUUUCUUUCUUUCUUGAUUUCUUUCGUUACAGGGAUAAGAUUUAGUUAACUCUUUAGUUAACUCUUUAAUAAACAAGUUAUUUAAAUAUUUUAUUUUUUUUCUUACAUUUGUCUCUUGAGAAGUGCCUUAUAAAUUCUGACUUCAAUUCUAAGUCUUUCUUAAAUGCAGCUUUUAAAUGCUAGUGUUUACUUAAAACUUUACUUAUGUUAAGAAAUUUUGUUUUUGUUUGCUUUAGUUUACAUGUAAGUCUACUUUGUUGGGUUCAGAUUUAAGAUGUAAAGUAGCAGUGUCAAAUUUGGUUUGCAGAAUUGUUGCUCCUGCUUUUUUAGUAAAAUGCGAAAGAUUUAUGCGAUCUGAAGAGAAACCAGAGUAUAACUCCUGCUUUUUUAAAAACAGUUUUACUGAUAUAAUUCACAUACUAUGAAAUUCUCUCAUUUAAAGUGUACACUUCAGGGGCGCCUGGUAUAUUCAUAGGAUUGUGCAGUCAUUACUAAAAUUUAGUCAGUCCAAUUUUAGAACAUUCUUAUCACCUUAGAAAGAAACUCCAUUCUGGGGGCACCUGGGUGGCUAGUGGGUUAAAGCCUCUGUUGGGUUCAGGUCAUGAUCCCAGGGUCCUGGAAUGGAGCUCGCGUAGGGCUCUCUGCUCGGCAGGUCGCCUGCUUCCUCCUCUCUCUCUGCCUCCCUCUCAGCCUACUUGUGAUCUCUGUCUGUCAAAUAAAUAAAUAAAAUCUUAAAAAAAAAAAA